rnacentral:lncRNA from 1 species
UGACCAUGACAUCUGUCACCCUGUUGGUUGCCAGGCUUGGGUCCCCUGAACUGGCUGGUUAGCAGGUCCCCUCCCUCCCCCACUGCUCCAGGUGCUUCCUCCUGAAGCUGAGAGCUCAGUUGAAGAAGACAAUCUUCCCCCAAAGAGGGGGAUGAUCCUUCAGUCCAGGGUAGAUGCUAGAACUGCCAAACAGCUCCCCCAAACCCCUCAACAA